rnacentral:rRNA from 1 species
GACGAACGCUGGCGGCGUGCCUAAUACAUGCAAGUAGAACGCUGAAGAGAGGAGCUUGCUCUUCUUGGAUGAGUUGCGAACGGGUGAGUAACGCGUAGGUAACCUGCCUUGUAGCGGGGGAUAACUAUUGGAAACGAUAGCUAAUACCGCAUAACAAUGGAUGACACAUGUCAUUUAUUUGAAAGGGGCAAUUGCUCCACUACAAGAUGGACCUGCGUUGUAUUAGCUAGUAGGUGAAGUAAUGGCUCACCUAGGCGACGAUACAUAGCCGACCUGGGAGGGGGGUCGGCCACACUGGGACUGAGACACGGCCCCGACUCCUACGGGAGGCAGCAGUAGGGAAUCUUCGGCAAUGGGGGCAACCCUGACCGAGCAACGCCGCGUGAGUGAAGAAGGUUGUCGGAUCGUAAAGCUCUGUUGUAAGUCAAGAACGGGUGUGAGAGUGGAAAGUUCACACUGUGACGGUAGCUUACCAGAAAGGGACGGCUAACUACGUG